UGGGGAAUAUUGCACAAUGGGGGAAACCCUGAUGCAGCGACGCCGCGUGAACGAAGAAGGUAUUCGUAUUGUAAAGUUCUGUCCUAUGGGACGAUAAUGCCAGUACCAUAGAAGAAAGCUCCGGCUAAAUACGUGCCAGCAGCCGCGGUAAUACGUAUGGAGCGCGCCUUGGCCGGAAUUAUUGGGCGUAAAGGGUACGCAGGCGGUUUAAUAAGCCGAAUGUUAAAGAUCGGGGCUCAACCCCGUAAAACAUUGGAAACUGAUAAACUUGAGUAGUGGAGAGGAAAGUAGAAUUCCUAGUGUAGUGGUGAAAUACGUAGAUAUUAGGAGGAAUACCAGUAGCGAAGGCGACUUUCUGGACACAAACUGACGCUGAGGUACGAAAGCGUGGGGAGCAAACAGG
rnacentral:rRNA from 1 species